GACGAACGCUGGCGGCGUGCCUAAUACAUGCAAGUCGAACGCAGUGGGGACGGGUGAGUAACACGUGGGUAACCUCCCAUCAGAGGGGAUAACACUUGGAAACAGGUGCUAAACCGAUACUGAUGGAUGGACCCGCGGUGCAUUAGCUAGUUGGUGAGGUAACGGCUCACCAAGGCCACGAGGAAUAGUCGACCUGCGAGGGUGAUAGGCCACACUGGGAGGGAGACACGGGCAAGACUCCUACGGGAGGCAGCAGUAGGGAAUCUGCGGCAAUGGACGAAAGUCUGACCGAGGAACGCUGCGUGAGUGAAGAAUGUUUUCGGAUCGUAAAACUCUGUUGUUAGAGAAGCGGUAUCUAACCAGAAAGCCACGGCUAACUACGUGCCAGCAGCCGCGGGAAUAC
rnacentral:rRNA from 1 species